rnacentral:tRNA from 1 species
GGGUUUGUGGCUCAGUGGGAGAGCAUUUGCUUAGUGUGCUGAAGGUACCAGGUUCAAUUCCCAGUUUCUCCC